rnacentral:rRNA from 1 species
CUGCUGCCUCCCGUAGGAGUUUGGGCCGUGUCUCAGUCCCAAUGUGGCCGGUCACCCUCUCAGGUCGGCUACUGAUCGUCGCUUUGGUGGGCCGUUACCCCGCCAACUGGCUAAUCAGACGCGGGCCCAUCCCAUACCACCGGAGUUUUUCACACCGGGCCAUGCGGCCCUGUGCGCUUAUGCGGUGUUAGCAGUCAUUUCUAACUGUUAUCCCCCUGUAUGGGGCAGGUUGCCCACGCGUUACUCACCCGUCCGCCA